UACAGAGGGUGCGAGCGUUAAUCGGAAUUACUGGGCGUAAAGCGUGCGUAGACGGUUAUUUAAGUCGGGUGUGAAAGCCCCGGGCUCAACCUGGGAAUUGCAUUCGAGACUGAAUAGCUAGGGUACGGUAGAGGGAAGUGGAAUUUCCGGUGUAGCGGUGAAAUGCGUAGAUAUCGGAAGGAACAUCAGUGGCGAAAGCGACUUCCUGGACCAGUACCGACCGUUCAGGCACGAAAGCGUGGGGAGCAAAGCAGGA
rnacentral:rRNA from 1 species